rnacentral:lncRNA from 1 species
UCGUGAUGGGCUUUGUUAUUGUCACAUUGUGUUAUGGUUUUGAGAUGUUGAUUACGCUAACCCUAAUACGGAUUCACAAAAAAAAAAGCGAAAUCCUUCUUCUUCUUCGAUGCGGCGGUGAUGCGGGGACUCUCUCUCUCUCUCUCUCUCUCUCUCUCUCUCCGAGUUUUGAUAUCGAUUUGUUUUUGUCUUGGUAAAGAAAGUUGGAGGAGGCAGAGAAGCUUGAUGGAGGAGGACGGAGAAGAAGCUUCACGGGGUGGAGGAAGCUGGACGAACAGACGACGGAAGAGGCAGGAUGAAAAGGCGGAGGUUUAGUUUUGUAUUUUUUUGUGGAGAGUUCAACAAGAAAACGGCGGCCUCUAGAUUAGGUUUAGUUUUGUAUUUUUUUUUUAAUUUUGUUUAAUGGUGUAAACCAAUUUGAAAUUACAAACCGGUUCAAAUAUUUUGUAAACCUGUUUUAACAUUUACAUUCUAUGUUUAUCAAUAUUUAUUUGUACAUUUCAAUUUCGUAAUGUAAUACCACAAUUUCGUAAUGUACGUCUAUUUUUCAACUGUCAUUAUGCUCAAUGUGUCUGGAGGUCUUCUGGUAUAUCAAAUUUGAUCAUCAAUAGUAGAACAUCAACACUGGAAGAGAAAGUAGCUGUUUGUCAACAAAUUUCUUCAUCAUCAAGGUUAACUCAUUUCCAAGAUCUACCUUUGUGGAUUUUAUGGCGGCUUUGGAAAAGCAGCAAUAUAUUGAUAUUUCAACAGAGAGGUCAAAGUUGGAUCUCUACAUUACAUUAUGCUCGGUUGGAUGCUCAAGAAUGGAGGGAUGCUGGAAAUUCUCAUGAAGCUCCAAAUUCACAUACAACUUCAUUACAGGUUCGAAGAAGACAUAGAUGGCAGAAACCACAAAGUGAUUGGUUAAAGUGUAAUGUUGAUGGUUCUUUUAUUGAUGAGAACUCUACAAGUAAAGCCGGUUGGGUCAUUCGUGAUGAUAAAGGUUCGUAUAAAGGAUCAGUACAAGCUAAAGGUAUGAAGGUUAGUUCACCAUUGGAGAGUGAACUGCAAGCAAUCUUAAUGUCAAUGCAAUUCUGUUGGAGUAGAGGCUAUCGAAGAGUUAUAAUAGAAGGGGAUUGUCAAAAAGCUGUUAAUUUACUCAACAACAAGCAGCGACAUUUUGGAUUAUAUAAUUGGAUAAGGGAGAUUAAAUGGUGGGAAUCACGAUUUGAAGAUAUUUCUUAUCAGUGGGUUGAACUUGAAGCAAACCAAGUUGCAGACAAAUUGGCAAAACAUGGAGAUUCGGAAUAUAAUAGUUUCCAAUUUCAUUUUUUUGUACCAUCGUUUCUUUCAAAUCUUCUCCAUGAAGAUUAUGUAAACUCUAAUCAUUUCUAAUAAAAUAAUGACGUUAAAAAAAAAAAAAAAAAAAAAAAUUUUUGAAGAGAGACAACUUUCUAUUGGUUGGUGAACCCUAGGGAGUGAACCCAAGAAAAAGUCUUAUAUAAAAGAGUGUUUUACUCCCUCCUAAGCUGUCUACAUAGGAUUCCAGCUAGGAGACUCACUUCAUACAAUCGCGCCACGUGUCCACACGCUUCACUCCGCAUCGUUUCAUUUAAACGAAUUUGUCUUGGGCUUUAUUUUGUAAUCGGGAAGAAUUCGUGAUGGGCUUUGUUAUUGUCACAUUGUGUUAUGGUUUUGAGAUGUUGAUUACGCUAACCCUAAUACGGAUUCACAAAAAAAAAAGCGAAAUCCUUCUUCUUCUUCGAUGCGGCGGUGAUGCGGGGACUCUCUCUCUCUCUCUCUCUCUCUCUCUCUCUCCGAGUUUUGAUAUCGAUUUGUUUUUGUCUUGGUAAAGAAAGUUGGAGGAGGCAGAGAAGCUUGAUGGAGGAGGACGGAGAAGAAGCUUCACGGGGUGGAGGAAGCUGGACGAACAGACGACGGAAGAGGCAGGAUGAAAAGGCGGAGGUUUAGUUUUGUAUUUUUUUGUGGAGAGUUCAACAAGAAAACGGCGGCCUCUAGAUUAGGUUUAGUUUUGUAUUUUUUUUUUAAUUUUGUUUAAUGGUGUAAACCAAUUUGAAAUUACAAACCGGUUCAAAUAUUUUGUAAACCUGUUUUAACAUUUACAUUCUAUGUUUAUCAAUAUUUAUUUGUACAUUUCAAUUUCGUAAUGUAAUACCACAAUUUCGUAAUGUACGUCUAUUUUUCAACUGUCAUUAUGCUCAAUGUGUCUGGAGGUCUUCUGGUAUAUCAAAUUUGAUCAUCAAUAGUAGAACAUCAACACUGG